rnacentral:rRNA from 1 species
GGGGUAUCGACCCCCUCUGUGCCGGAGUUACACAAUAAGUAUCCCACCUGGGGAGUACGGUCGCAAGAUUGAAACUCAAAGGAAUUGACGGGGGCCCGCACAAGCAGUGGAGUAUGUGGUUUAAUUCGAAGCAACGCGAAGAACCUUACCAGGGCUUGACAUCCCUUGACGCACCUGGAGACAGGUAUUCCCUACGGGGCAAGGAGACAGGUGGUGCAUGGUUGUCGUCAGCUCGUGUCGUGAGAUGUUGGGUUAAGUCCCGCAACGAGCGCAACCCCUGUUGUUAGUUGCCAGCAUUUCGGAUGGGCACUCUAGCAAGACUGCCGGUGACAAAUCGGAGGAAGGUGGGGACGACGUCAAAUCAUCAUGCCCCUUAUGUCCUGGGCUACACACGUACUACAAUGGCUACUACAACAGGCAGCUAACCCGCGAGGGGGAGCAAAUCCCAAAAGGUAGCCCCAGUUCAGAUUGCAGGCUGAAACCCGCCUGCAUGAAGUCGGAAUUGCUAGUAAUGGCAGGUCAGCAUACUGCCGUGAAUACGUUCCCGGGCCUUGUACACACCGCCCGUCACACCAUGAGAGUUGACAACACCCGAAGUCAGUAGUUUAACCUAUUAGGAGAGCGCUGCCGAAGGUGGGGUUGAUGAUUGGGGUGAAGUCGUAACAAGGUAGCCG